UACGUAGGGUGCGAGCGUUGUCCGGAAUUAUUGGGCGUAAAGGGCUCGUAGGCGGUUUGUCGCGUCGGGUGUGAAAACCCGGGGCUUAACCCCUGGCUUGCUUUCGAUACGGGCAGACUAGAGGUAUUCAGGGGAGAACGGAAUUCCUGGUGUAGCGGUGAAAUGCGCAGAUAUCAGGAGGAACACCGGUGGCGAAGGCGGUUCUCUGGGCAUUACCUGACGCUGAGGAGCGAAAGUGUGGGGAGCGAACAGG
rnacentral:rRNA from 1 species